UACGUAGGGGGCAAGCGUUGUCCGGAUUUAUUGGGCGUAAAGAGCGUGUAGGCGGUUCGGUAGGUCCGUUGUGAAAACUCGAGGCUCAACCUCGAGACGCCGAUGGAAACCCUCGAACUAGAGUCCGGAAGAGGAGAAUGGAAUUCCUGGUGUAGCGGUGGAAUGCGCAGAUAUCAGGAGGAACACCGAUGGCGAAGGCAGGUCACUGGGCCGCAACUGACGCUGAGGAGCGAAAGCAUGGGGAGCGAACAGG
rnacentral:rRNA from 1 species